UUGGCUAGGCGGUUGAUCGCUGUGAAUUUUUCAUAGAGGAAAGUCCGGGCUUCUUGUAAGCAAUGCGUCGGAUAACGUCCGGCGUUGGAAAUUGAAAAGUUUCCAAUAGGGAAAGCGCAACAGAAAAUAUACCGCCUUGAUUUUUAAGGUAAGGGUGAAAAGGCGACGGUAAGAGCGCACCGCGUGUUUGGCAACAAAGACGGCAUUGCAAGCCCCGCAUGAAGCAAGACUAAAUAGGAACGACGAGAAUAUUUAUUCGCGAUAGCUUACAAUCGUAGUCGUUCGGGUAAGUCGCUUGAGCUUAUUGGCAACAAUAAGCCUAGAUGAAUGAUCAACUGGGAGAAUUUUCUCCCAACAGAACCCGGCUUAUAGGCUAGCUUACGCC
rnacentral:RNase_P_RNA from 1 species